UACGUAGGGGGCAAGCGUUGUCCGGAAUCAUUGGGCGUAAAGCGCGUGUAGGCGGCUCGAUAAGUCUGCUGUGAAAGUCCAGGGCUCAACCCUGGGAUGCCGGUGGAUACUGUCGAGCUCGAGUCCGGAAGAGGCGAGUGGAAUUCCUGGUGUAGCGGUGAAAUGCGCAGAUAUCAGGAGGAACACCAAUAGCGAAGGCAGCUCGCUGGGACGUUACUGACACUGAGGCGCGAAAGCCGUGGGGAGCGAACAGG
rnacentral:rRNA from 1 species